GGCCUGCUGGCCCAAUGGCAAGGCGCUUGACUACGAAUCAAGAGAUUGCAGGUUCGACCCCUGCGUAGGUCA
rfam:Aspergillus flavus AF70 373, whole genome shotgun sequence.